UGGGGGAUAUUGCACAAUGGGCGAAAGCCUGAUGCAGCGACGCCGCGUGGGGGAUGAAGGCCUUCGGGUUGUAAACUUCUUUUGCUCUGAACAAGGCAUGCCUUUGGGGUGUGCUGAGUGUAGGGGUUGAUUAGCGCCGGCUAACUACGUGCCAGCAGCCGCGGUAAUACGUAGGGCGCGAGCGUUGUCCGGAAUUAUUGGGCGUAAAGGGCUUGUAGGUGGCUGGUUGCGUCUGUCGUGAAAGCUCAUGGCUUAACUGUGGGUUUGCGGUGGGUACGGGCUGGCUUGAGUGCAGUAGGGGAGGCUGGAAUUCCUGGUGUAGCGGUGGAAUGCGCAGAUAUCAGGAGGAAUACCGGUGGCGAAGGCGGGUCUCUGGGCUGUUACUGACGCUGAGGAGCGAAAGCGUGGGGAGCGAACAGG
rnacentral:rRNA from 1 species